AAAAGUUCUUGGAGCGGCUUAGUCAUUUCAAUCAUUUUGUAGGCUAAUAAGUACGAAGAAGGCCGGCCAUCAACAAGUGCUGUUUUGAAUUAUGUUUCCCCGGUCACACGGACGAUAUCGCUUUUGAUCGAUGCACCUGAAAUAAGUUCCAUAUGCGUAUAAACUUUAUUGUUGUAUCCAACAAGUUAACAAUAUUAUGUUUUAUCUGUUCCAUAUCAUCUGAAUGAAUAAAAUAGUUUCAUUGAUUA